rnacentral:rRNA from 1 species
CACGUGAGUAAUCUGCCCUUCACUUCGGGAUAAGCCUCGGAAACGGGGUCUAAUACCGGAUAUGACCACUUCACGCAUGUGAUGGUGGUGGAAAGUUUUUCGGUGGGGGAUGUGCUCGCGGCCUAUCAGCUUGUUGGUGGGGUAAUGGCCUACCAAGGCUUCGACGGGUAGCCGGCCUGAGAGGGUGACCGGCCACACUGGGACUGAGACACGGCCCAGACUCCUACGGGAGGCAGCAGUGGGGAAUAUUGGACAAUGGGCGGAAGCCUGAUCCAGCAACGCCGCGUGAGGGAUGACGGC